ensembl:rRNA 5S_rRNA 5S ribosomal RNA
UUCAGCAGCCACAUCACUCUGCAACUCACAACUGGCAACCCACUGAAGCUAAGCAGGUGUGAGCCUGGUCAGUACCUGGAUAGGAGACCUCCUGGGAAAAACUAAGGUUGCUGCUGGAA